GCGCACUGCUCAGUAACACGUGGACAACCUGCCCUGAGGACUGGAAUAAUCCCGGGAAACUGGGGGUAAUUCCAGAUAUGUCAGAACUCCUGGAAUGGGUUCUGGCAGAAAGGCUCCGGCGCCUCAGGAUGGGUCUGCGGCCUAUCAGGGUAGUAGUGGGUGUAACGUACCUACUAGCCUACGACGGGUACGGGUUGUGAGAGCAAGAGCCCGGAGAUGGAUUCUGAGACAUGAAUCCAGGCCCUACGGGGUGCAGCAGGCGCGAAAACUUUACAAUGCGGGCAACCGCGAUAAGGGGACCUCGAGUGCUGGGUUACAAACCUGGCUGUUGGGCUGCCUAAAAAGCAGUCUAUAGCAAGGGCCGGGCAAGACCGGUGCCAGCCGCCGCGAUAACACCGGCGGCUCGAGUGGUAACCGCUAUUAUUGGGUCUAAAGGGUCUGUAGCCGGCCGACUAAGUCUCUUGGGAAAUCUGGCAUCUCAAGUGUCAGGCUGCCAGGGGAUACUGGUCGGCUUGGGACCGGGAGAGGUGAGAGGUACCUCGGGGGUAGGGGUGAAAUCUUGUAAUCCUCGAGGGACCACCAGUGGCGAAGGCGUCUCAC
rnacentral:rRNA from 1 species